UGCUUCAUUACUGAUUGUCCUACAAGCUCUCUGUAUUUUGCACAAUAUAUGAAUAAACCUGAUUGAGUGAUUUCACCUGAACAGUGCUUGGAAAUAGUAUUUUUUCCACAACAGUUUGGUGCCAUGACCCGGAUCCCUCGACUGGACAUCUGAGGACGUCGACGAACAGCGUUAAGAGCGCGACCUGGACUAAACUCCAGCCUCAAACCUCGUUUAAGAUGAUGGCCGUCCAGGGCUGUUGGUCGGCUCCACGGCUCCAGCGCUGGGAUCAACGAACUGAAAACCACUGUUACCAGAUUGCCUUUGCACCUGCAGUAACUCAUAAGCCAGAACGCUGACACAGAGCGUGUGAAGCCCUCCCUGUCAUGUCAGUCAGCGCCGUGCAACAAGUGGUGACUAAGCGACGAUCCAGGAGCAGCGACAUCCUGACCGGACGUGACUCUGCACAAAGUUACCAGAUUCUCGCUCUCUCACCGUUCUCCCUGGGAGAAACCAAUCAGACUCCAUCUACCAGCAUUCAUAGAGCUGCAAGUCAACUUUGUCACAUCCGCCACAAUAGCAACCAUGGAUGCAGAGAUAAGGGUGUGUUUGGAGGAAAAACCUCCUACAGAGACACACACACACACACACCUGACCUGAUCUUUGAAGCGAAACUUGCUGGACUUUUAAGAAUUGCUGUUUGUGCAUCUCUGACAACUGAGUGACGAUAUCAGACAUACAAGAAUAAAUUGUAUUAUGAAGAUGUUUAUCAUGUUACCUAUCUCCCUUUUGCUCUUCCAUGAGGAUAUUCUCAUUUCCCGCAGCCUCUGUUUCUACUAAAGUCGUAUUGCCAAUUAUCCACAUUAAUAAUGGCAUUUAGCAACAACUGAGAACUGAGCAAUUAGCAACACUCGUUUUUACAGUGUCUAAAUGCUGAAAAACAAGAGGCAGCAUAAUGACAUGAUGCCUGCAAACUGAGAAUUUCUGAGAAACAAAGUGUCAGUCAUCUUGUUUUCAGAUCAUCCUAAUCUGAACGAGACCAUUGUCAGUAAGGAAUGUGAAAUAUUCAUCUCAGCAUCGUUUUAUUUUAAUUUUCAAACUGCUUUACGAUGCAUGAGCAGGUUUUCAGUUGGUGCAGAACAACUGAUCUUUGAAGGCUGCAGGUGAAACAAAGUGCUUUGUUUUUCUUUUUCUUUCCUGUUUUUUAACGGUAUUCAUUUUUACGUUGCUUCUAUUGCAUCUGCGACAGAGUUGAACUUCAAGACGUUUCAGGUGAGCGAAUGCAGGGAUCUGCUGACCUCUGCAGCCUAUCGGCAAAGUUGCACCAGGAAAUGGAUUUCUUUGGUUUUUUGCAUCACAAUGACCAAAACUAAAGUUGACGUCAGCUGAAGACGCGGUGAGAUUGAAAUGAUUCAUUGCGAAUUGGUUUACACUCGCCAUCAUUUCCCUCAGUGUUAUCCAUAAAGCAGAGCGGUGACGCUGUGCGCCGGGUCCCCUCUGGUUGCUGCUCAUCUUUUUAAAAAAAACCGGUCACCACAAAUUGGAUUCAACAAAUCCGCAGCUUCCCUCUGAUCGAGUUACUCUGUUUAUUGCCUCUUAUGAGUUUCCUCCGUCAGCAUCCAGCGGCUGCAGGAGAACAACCGGCUCCAGGCACAAAAAGCAGGGAUUUUCCUGCUGGCAUUGUCAGCCGAACACGUGACUCCCAGCUUGGUAGGAAGCAAGACAACACAAACACUUCUGCUGGAAGAUGACACGAGCAAGGGUUCCCAUGGCAACUGUGGGAAAGACUGGUGGUGUGAGGAUGGCACCGGAGUAUUGUUCUCAUCGGGAGAGUGCUCUGAAUCAUCUGUCAGUGAACUGUUUGCUGCUGCUGCAGCCACGGAAGGGAGACUGUGUGUUUGUGGAGCUUGUUUGCUGUAGCGAACUGUGUG